rnacentral:rRNA from 1 species
UGCAACUCGACUACAUGAAGCUGGAAUCGCUAGUAAUCGCGAAUCAGAAUGUCGCGGUGAAUACGUUCCCGGGUCUUGUACACACCGCCCGUCACACCAUGGGAGUUGGGAAUGCCCGAAGCCGGUGACCUAACCGAAAGGGAGGAGCCGUCGAAGGCAGGCUUGAUAACUGGGGUGAAGUCGUAACAAGGUACC